UGCGCCCACUUCGUCCUCUGUACAGAGCAGACCCAACGAAACCCGC
rnacentral:ncRNA from 1 species